GAGUCUUACGUGACAAACAACACAACAAUGUGGAGCGCCGAACAUAAACAUCCCACCGACAUCAUUAUAUUAUGGAAUAAAAAUAAUUCCAGCCAUACAUUACGCUACUUUAACGAGAUAAAAACGCGUCGCCAAUACAUACCUACUUAUAAGUAAACAUUUGUUCAAGGCAAAUUACGAUUCUGAUAACAGAUAGCCGUGUAAACUAAUUAUGUAUGCACAUAACAUGCCGAGGAGGUGUAACAGUGAAUUUGAGAAGAAAAAAUAUCGGACGUAACUCACCAGCCAUAAAGUUCAAGGUAAUGCAACCUCUUGAAAUCGGAUCCUGACGAUCGCGGGGCAAGAUAUGCAGUGUUUGGGCUUCAGUAAUGGGAGAAACUACAGCAAAAGAAGCAAAAAUAAAAUCCAACUUACUGGUA